UAUGUGAGUAAGAUGCUCUUUCUGCACCUUGUGCCACAUAUUCAGCCCUGGGAACAGAUGUGCAAGAACAAGGCUUAGGUGGAAUUGACACUUCAUACCGUCAAGAUAAGGCGAUGUGGCUUUGAGCAGAGAACAUAAACAGUGUGGCUCACCUCAGAAGGUCACUCCUCUGGGGGAAAAAAAAAAGCAUGUGUGAGAACACCCAUUCUGCCCGAUUCUACUUGCUUCAGCAGUGGGAGAGAAUAGCACAUUAUGCCAGUACCAAGAGAUCACCAACAAGAACAGCAGCAGCUGUGCAGUGGAGCUAACCUGAGCCUGGGAGACAAUGAGCGUAAGGGGGGUGUCCAGGCAUUGAAUGCACAGCAGACUGGAAGGAUGAAGGAGAGUAUGGAACAGGCACAGGUUAACUAACACCUGGGUAGAGAACAUCAAAAUAUGCCAUCCAAAUGAACACUUGUUAUAAGGAACAAGGAGAGAGAACUUCUCACUCACCCCUGACAUAUUCAUGAGAGAGUUACAGUUUGGUUUUGAAGAAUGGAACAAAGGCAAGAACUGUGCAUAUGCAGAUGCGAUGUCAUUCUCACAUCAUCAAAACCGGGAGAAAAUAUUUAUGCUGCUGAUUUACAGAAUUCAAUCAUUUUGAUUUUGGAAGUCAAAGAGAUGCUCCCCAAAAUAGACUAUUGCAUUGUCCUUGGCUGCCUAUCAGGACCUGAAGGUUGGAGACCUGAUAUGAGACAAAAUGGCUGAAGUGGAACGUCUUGGAGAGAAGGCUCUUGGUCAUUACAAAGUGGUUGGCAGCAGAUGUUCUGGGAACCCCAAGCUCCUCACAAUCUCUUCGGCCUCCAACCUCCUAUGACCCUCCUACUUUCCUGGCACUGGAACAUGGAACACACAGCUGAUAGCCUCAUGAAGAAUGAAGACAUUUUAGGAAGGACAAAAUAUUUUUCUACAAGCAUGCCCACAAGAGACCCAUCCCCUUCAGGUGAGCCAGAAGUCAACAUGAUGCGGUAGGUUUCUAUCUUCCCACCAUGUAGGUCCCUUGUCUGAUACCCAGGUCCUCCAGCUUGGUGCCAGAGAGGUACCUGUUCUCCCUGGAGAAAGACUUGCCAUUUCUCUCUGGUAAGCUAAAGCUAUAGGUGCGUAUUUCAUGUCCUUGGUUUUUCUAUAAAUUAUAGCAAAUUUAACACUGCUUCAGGCAAGGUAUAGUAAGACUGAAAAUGUCUCUGUCCCCAGUUCUUUCAAAACUCUAGAACAAAAAUCUGUUUUUCCUGUUUCUUUCUCUAUAUUGUCCUUUUUUAUAAAAGCAGGCGAGCGUUUGAACUCAGGGGCCGACCUUGUGCUUAGGACUCCAGUAAGAUGAGGAUUUAUGUGCAUUUCCUGCUGUCCUUGGAAAGGUUUUUCAUCAGACUUUGAUUUGUAGGAGUUUUUCUCUUGUGUUUACAGGAUCUCCCUAUGCAGAUCAAGCAAACCUGGAAUUCACAGAGAUCUGCCUGACUCUGUCUCACUAGUGCUGGGAUUAAAGGUGUCUAUGUUUGUGCAGAUGACUCAAAAUCCAGAAGAAGAGGCUAGCUCCCCUUGAGCUGGAGUUACAGGCAGUUUUACAAGUGAUAUUGGAUACUGCCACUCUCACAAAGUACUUAGGAUCAGAAGAUAAAUGGGUGGAAUUAGAAGAGAUCACAUUGAGUGAGAUAAUCCAGAUUCAGAAAGACAAGGAUCACAUUUGCUCUCAUCUGUGGCUCCUAAUUCCAAAAUUUCAAGUGUAUGAGUGGCAACAAAUGUAGCCAAGGAAACAUCUGUGGAGUAGGAUGCCUAUCCCCCUCCCUUUUAUUUGAAUCCUCCAAACUGGUUUCUACAGUGGCUGCCCGAGUUCCCAAUGUAAAAACACAUGGACAUAAGCCAAGAAAAUCAAAGCAUACCUACAGUAACCACAUGGCUCCAUUGGCUGAAAUGAACUCUAUUGUUGUGUGGCUCAGAGACAGGAAAGAAAGGCAACGGCAGUGCUUCUCUAAGAGAAAGUUCUCGGAGACAGGCCCCAAAGACCUGCUGGCACAACAGAAAGGAACAUUUCAAGAAUCAAUCAUCAAAGGACUCCAAAAAUGGAAGGAUGAAGUUGUCAUUUCAGGGAAAUCAAGACAACACCACUGUAUGUGAACAUGAGGGCAAGUGCUUGAGGAGGACAGAGGUAUCACACACCCUGGACAUGGUAUUGCAGCCAGUUGAGAGCCUUCUGAUGUGGAUGCUGGGAACCAAGCUCAGGUCUUCUACAAGAAGAGCAACUGCUGUUACACACUGAGCUCUCUCCAGCCCUGUACACUUUUGUUCCAGGGUUUCAUACAAGCACGCAAUGUGUAUUGAUCAAAUUCCCUCCCUUCCCCGCCCCCAUCCUCCUCACCACUUUCCCUCUGAAUUUCAUACGCUCUUAUUUUUAAUACACUGACUUCACUUACUACUGCCUGUAUGGACAUCGAUGCAGAACCACCUACAAGGGCAUGACUAGGCUCUCCGGAGCAGUAUCCUUGAAGAAAACUGUUUCUUUCUCCCCAAGUAGCCAUCAAUUUCAAUAGCUUCUCAGCCAGAGUGGAACUUCAGAAACAGCGAGGAUGACAUGUUUGAUCUUAUGCAGGGCUCGUGCAUGUGGCCACAACCACUGAGAGUUCGUGUGUGCAAUGGUGCUAUCAUAACUGGCAAAUAGUUUUUCACAGCAUAUGUCUACUAUCUCUGGCUCUUACCAUCAGUCUACUCUGUAUUUUGAUUUUGUGCCAAUAUUAUAAAUGAUAGUCAGCAGUGAAUAAUUGUUGGGAAGGGUACUAAGAGAUUAGAGAUAGCUAGAUAAGUAUUAAUAAUAAGGUCACAAAAUUUAAAGAAUUGAAAUUUAAAAUGAAACUUAUAUUAGCAUUAGUUAUUUUUAAGGCAAGAAAAUAGAUUAUAUGAAUGUCAUCUAGCUUAAGCAUAUAUGUGUUUAAAAAUAUUACAGAAGUGCACUAUAAUAUCUGAGGUCUUCACAUUCCCUUACCAGUGACUCAUUCCCUCAUCCAGGGCAAUUUCUAGUCCUUAAAGCCUCAUUCUUGGUAUUACUUAACAGACACACUAUUUAUUUAACCAUCCACCUUGUGGCUUUGCUCUAUCUUUUCUAUGUUCAGGUACACGAACACUUGCCAUUUUAUUACAGUUUCCCACUGUAUUCAGUAAAGUAGCAUGCUGUAGAAAUUUAUGACCUGAGAGCUAUAGAAUAAUACAUCAUUCAACCUUGGUAUGUAGCAGAGCUGGAGCAUCUAAGUUUCUGUAAGCCCACGCUGUCAUUUUCAAAAUGAUGAAUGUGCCUGAUAACAUUUUCAAGAGCAUAUCUCCAUUGUUAAAUGAUUUAUGUAUCACAUUUUUUAAAAUACAUAAAAACAUCUUUGUUGAACUG
ensembl:processed_transcript Platr21 pluripotency associated transcript 21